UACGAAGGGGGCUAGCGUUGCUCGGAAUUACUGGGCGUAAAGGGAGCGUAGGCGGGUUAUCAAGUUGGAGGUGAAAGCCCAGGGCUCAACCUUGGAAUUGCCUUCAAAACUGAUAGCCUAGAGUAUGAUAGAGGUAAGUGGAACUCCGAGUGUAGAGGUGAAAUUCGUAGAUAUCUGGAGGAAUACCGGUGGCGAAGGCGGCAUCCUGGACCGGCAUUGACGCUGAGGAGCGAAAGCCAGGGGAGCAAACGGG
rnacentral:rRNA from 1 species